AGGUGCGAUCAUACCAGCAAUAAUGCACCGGAUCCCAUCAGAACUCCGCAGUCAAGCGUGCUUGGACGAGAGUAGUACUAGGAUGGGUGACCUCCUGGGAAGUCCUCCUGUUGCACCUC
rfam:Lupinus angustifolius cultivar Tanjil chromosome LG02, whole genome shotgun sequence.